UUCAUGAAUAUCUCCUUUGUGGUUCGGCCUUAGCAAUUUAAAACCAUUGUUGAAUAAUCCCUGGAAUGUAAGGGGUUAAAUAUUCGGUCAACAUGCAUAUCUGUUUUGUAUGGAGAAUGCUGGUGACCGAAAAUGUUUUUUCACUGUUGGUGGCACUUUUUGCACUGCUUGCUUGAGUGCGCAAGUUCCACUUCUUGCUACUGGGGAUCAGGGAAAUGUGCGAUUGGUUAGAUCAGGUAUGACGCAUCAUCAUCUGGCGCGAGGUUGAAGUGUACAGUCAGUGCUUAGUGCGUCGUGCAUCUCAUUCUUGGGCAGGAUUAUGUUGGCGACAGUCAGACACGAGCCUAUGCUCAGGCAGCGCACAAAGCAGCUUCUGAACCAUUGAAACGGUAAGUUCUGUUGAUUAUCCUUCAAUUAGCCUACAUGUAACCUCAGCACUGUUAAUAUAUUACUGUGGUAAAUUUUAAUUGGGGAUUUUUCGUCAAAAUUCAGGCGGACCAUCAACCAGAGGCGAACUAAGCAUAACGGCAUCCUAUUCAGCCAAACGGUUGAUGGAUGAUGGACAAUGACAGGUUUCAGAUCGAAUGUUGCCUGGACUACUGAUGACCAUUCCA